CAUUCAAGUUUCGUUUUUUUCACUUGCUUAGAAGCUGAUAUUGCGGACAUUGCGGGGUUGGGCUUGAUGACAUUUGUUGCUCAGCUGCCGCGACGCAUUUGGAGCAAAGCUUCUGCUUAUUUCCUUUGGCCGCACCUUAUAUUUGUUGUCUUUGUCAACAUCUGACCUGUUUCUGCCUUGUUGAAAGCAAGUGGCCACAAGUACUGCUUAGUUUGCUCAGUCUAAACAUGGCCACUUCACAACUGCAAGCUGAAUCUGGUGUAGGCAGUGUCAGGGUCAUGGCCCAUAUUUUGGUGAACGCCAAGAAUGCAUCCUGUGACUGAAGUUUGAGCAUUUGAGCCCACCUUCUGGAAGUGCUUUUUAUGUGCACUCACUGCAGUCAGAUGUGCUGUAUAUUGGUGGGUGUCAGGAAUCUUGAGAUCCAGCCAGGCUGCCACUGGAAGUCUCUUGGGUCAGAUGAUACCACAAAUGCCUCCAAAUAUUUCACUAUUUAA